AUUGAACGCUGGCGGCAUGCCUUACACAUGCAAGUCGAACGGCAGCACGGGUGCUUGCACCUGGUGGCGAGUGGCGAACGGGUGAGUAAUACAUCGGAACAUGUCCUGUAGUGGGGGAUAGCCCGGCGAAAGCCGGAUUAAUACCGCAUACGAUCUACGGAUGAAAGCGGGGGACCUUCGGGCCUCGCGCUAUAGGGUUGGCCGAUGGCUGAUUAGCUAGUUGGUGGGGUAAAGGCCAACCAAGGCGACGAUCAGUAGCUGGUCUGAGAGGACGACCAGCCACACUGGGACUGAGACACGGCCCAGACUCCUACGGGAGGCAGCAGUGGGGAAUUUUGGACAAUGGGCGAAAGCCUGAUCCAGCAAUGCCGCGUGUGUGAAGAAGGCCUUCGGGUUGUAAAGCACUUUUGUCCGGAAAGAAAUCCUUGGCCCUAAUACGGUCGGGGGAUGACGGUACCGGAAGAAUAGGCACCGGCUAACUACGUG
rnacentral:rRNA from 1 species